GACAAGGAGUAUUUCUUAUUGGCUAAAAAACACACAUGCUCCCCUGACUUCUCUGAGUGACAUUUUUACUCAAGACAGCUAUUAACAUGAUAUCUGUCAGGCAGUAGGUACAUUUAUGCAUGAUUUAAAAAAAAAAAAAAAAAAAAAAAAAAAANCAAUUAUUGCAAAACAGUGUGACGAAUUGUACAUCUUUGUCCGAGCUUCACGAUGCGCUCAGCGGCAACAUCAACAAACAUCCUGACGCUGCUGUUAUCAUCGCUGGGGACUUUAACAAAGCCAACCUCAGGCAGGUUAUGCCUAAUUAUUAUCAACAUGUAUCCUGUCCAACCAGAGGACCGAAUACACUGGAUCACUGCUACACUCAGUUUAAGCAUGCCUACAAAGCUCGCUCACUACCGGCUUUCGGCAAAUCGGACCAUGCCGCCAUUUUCCUCACACCGGAAUAUAAACAAAGGCUCGUUCAAGAACCCCCGGUGCAGAGGGUGGUGACGCGCUGGUCCGCCCACUCAGAAGCCAUGCUACAGGCGGCUCUUGAUGACGUAGACUGGGACAUGUUUCGGGCAAGUUCAUCUGACGUCAGCGAGUUCACGGAUGUAGCAUUAAGCUUUGUAAACACGCUAGCCGAACAAGCUACGGAUACAAUAUCUAUAAGGACCUUCUCUAAUCAGAAACCUUGGGUGGACAGUACAAUCCGUGCAGCAGUAAACAAACGCACUGCUGCUUACAACGCCGGUCUUUUGUCGGGAAACAUGAGUGAGUACAAAGCAUCGUGCUAUGCUCUCCGACGCGCAGUAAGAGCCGCCAAACUCCGAUACAGGGAACGAAUAGAGUCACAUUUCCAGCUCAAUGACUCCCGACGCAUGUGGCAAGGACUAAGAACCAUCUGUGCCUUUGGAAAUAAAUCCUCUGCAGAGGUGAGAGCAGAUCCAUCGCUGGCUGACGAGCUAAACACUUUCUACGGCCGCUUUGAAAGCAAUCUGAGCAGCACGAGUCUGCCAAUCAGCGCGUCAGGAAGCAGCAUUCAGAGCAGCGAUAAUCAUGUAAUCACCAUGUCGGAGGACGAGGUUCGGAGGGCCCUAAAGCGAGUGAACAUGAGGAAAGCAGCAGGUCCUGAAGGGAUUUCUGGCCGUGUUCUGAGGUCCUGUGCUGAUCAGCUCUCUGGUUUGUUUACAUCCAUCUUUAAUGAGUCACUUGCUACCUCGGUGGUUCCCACCUCCU
ensembl:lncRNA